rnacentral:rRNA from 1 species
UACGUAGGGUGCGAGCGUUAAUCGGAUUUACUGGGCGUAAAGCGUGCGCAGGCGGCCCGUUAAGACAGGUGUGAAAUCCCUGGGCUCAACCUAGGAAUUGCGCUUGUGACUGGCGGGCUCGAGUACGGUAGAGGGGGGUGGAAUUCCUGGUGUAGCAGUGAAAUGCGUAGAGAUCAGGAGGAACACCGAUGGCGAAGGCAGCCCCCUGGGCCUGUACUGACGCUCAUGCACGAAAGUGUGGGUAGCAAACAGG